CCCAGGAUAUCCAUCUGCUAUUGGUGAGCUCCAGUUUGCUUCGGGGCUUUCCGAGUUGGUUCCAUAUAUUUUUGGUAUUGUAUAAAAGUUAAUAGUAUGGCGGGGGUUUGUCCCGACCUUAGCUAAAUUUUAUGUAUCAUCUAGAGGCUUUGUAAACCAAUGAAAAGUUAAGCAUGGUAGUGUGUUAUCUUGUAUAUGUUAUGGCCCC
rnacentral:lncRNA from 1 species